CCUACGGGCGGCAGCAGUGGGGAAUAUUGGACAAUGGGGGGAACCCUGAUCCAGCCAUGCCGCGUGUGUGAAGAAGGCCCUCGGGUUGUAAAGCACUUUCAGUGAGGAAGAACGCCUGGUGGUUAAUACCCAUCAGGAAAGACAUCACUCACAGAAGAAGCACCGGCUAACUCCGUGCCAGCAGCCGCGGUAAUACGGAGGGUGCGAGCGUUAAUCGGAAUUACUGGGCGUAAAGCGCGCGUAGGUGGCUUGAUAAGCCGGUUGUGAAAGCCCCGGGCUCAACCUGGGAACGGCAUCCGGAACUGUCAAGCUAGAGUGCAGGAGAGGAAGGUAGAAUUCCCGGUGUAGCGGUGAAAUGCGUAGAGAUCGGGAGGAAUACCAGUGGCGAAGGCGGCCUUCUGGACUGACACUGACACUGAGGUGUGAAAGCGUGGGUAGCAAACAGGAUUAGAUACCCUUGUAGUC
rnacentral:rRNA from 1 species